rnacentral:tRNA from 1 species
GGGCCGCUAGCUCAGCAGGUAGAGCAACGCCCUUUUAAGGCGUGGGUCGGCCGUUCGAAUCGGCCGCGGCUCA